AUGUGGGGAGGAAUUCUGAGUCUUAUGGAAGUUACCAGAAGAUAAAAAAUUGAAAUCCCAUGUCAACCCACUUGUUGAUGACAUGUCACAAGCUUGUAUAAGCCUCCUCAGCCACGAGGGCACCAGGCUGUUGGACUCAUUCCCCUGGAGUAAGAUUGAUAAGCACAUUCCACUAAGAACAGAUGUAGCUGUGAGAGGCCAGAAGCCAGUUUACUAGAAGACACAGAGGGACUGGAGAGGCUUGUGCAAGCUUUUUGAUUGUGGCUUGGAGUUUUUGUGAACGGCCAAAGAAGGGAGACUUUCUGGGGAUGUUCCAGUGAAACUCUUAUUCAAGCUGUAUCCCUUUUUCCAGGAAGAUGUUAAGGCUGGUUACUCAGAAAAACUUUACUGUGGUAUAAUUUGCAUACCAUGAAAUUCACCAACUCUGUGGGGAUUAUGACCCAUUACAGCCUUCCUCUACCCGGAUCUGAGAGUUUACAAAGAGCACAGCCCCACUGCCAACCAUUAAUGAACA